rnacentral:rRNA from 1 species
UGCGUAGGCGGCUUUUUAAGUCGGAUGUGAAAUCCCCGAGCUUAACUUGGGAAUUGCAUUCGAUACUGGGAAGCUAGAGUAUGGGAGAGGAUGGUAGAAUUCCAGGUGUAGCGGUGAAAUGCGUAGAGAUCUGGAGGAAUACCGAUGGCGAAGGCAGCCAUCUGGCCUAAUACUGACGCUGAGGUACGAAAGCGAUGGGGAGCAAAACA